AAUCACAUCACCUCUGAACACUCUUGUGAUGUCUCAUACAUGAGCUUUUGGGGACAACUCAUAUCCUAACCAUUUCACAUGGCAUGCAGAAUUAAGAAACCAGUCCCCAUCUCAAAGUGCUUUCAUUUCUUUCUCCUCCCAGCUACAGGUUCCUAUGACACAAAAGUGCCCUGUCAGAAUACAUGCUCCUUGGAAUAUUUGCAAAAUAGGGUGAUGGAGGAAGAACAUCUGGGCCUCAGCUGCCAUAAAGCACGAGAGUCUGGAAAGCCCAUCAUAGUUGCAGGUUGCCACCCUCUUCUAUGCCCUUUCUGGUACCAUGUUGCUACUGAGAUCUUCCUCAUCUCCUCUCGGGAUCUUCAAAAGUUGGUUCGCUGGAAGAAUAUAAGCCUGGGAGCCACUGUGUUGAGUCUGUCGAAGGAUAAAGCAAAACCAAGUAGUGGGAAAACAUGGAUCAUCCAAAUGAUAUUGAAUGAGUCCUCUGACUUGGCCCACCCUACGUGAAACACUGUGCCUGGACUCCAGUUAUAUGAGGCUAAAGCUAAAUAUCUACCUAGAAAAAUCUGAAUUCCUCUCUCACACACUGGAGGAUCCCCCUAAAGAAGCAUCUGAAAUAAGGAUUCAUAUGCAGAGCGUUUAGUUGAGAAGUGAUCCCAGGAAUUCCCACAGGGGAAUGGGAAAGGGAGACAGAGAGGAGAAGGCAGCCAAUAAGAGAUGCACUACUGAGCAGAGGACAGCUGAAGGGCAACUUGGGCUCCAUACUACUUGGGAACUCCAGGAGACCUUGUGGAGCACUCAUUUUGGAGUGACGUCAUCCAAGGAGGAAAGGGAGCCAGGGUGCUAGGGUAUUGACCACCUCUCCUGACUGUGGUUAUAUCAGGUUGCCCCCAGGGCUCACUGGUACCCCACUUCCUUUCUGGCUUGCCAUGAGCAUGGGUGAGGCAGGGUCCUGGGCAGAGUCACAGGAACGUGGCAAUCUGUAGUCAAGCUGGUAUGCACAGCAUCCAGGGGAAAGGGGUGGGAUACUCCUACUUUGUAUUGUUUUGUUUUUGUGUAGAAGAUGGAUGAUUAGGCUAGGCUUUCUGCCAUUUUCAAAGGAAAAAAACAUCCUGACUAAUAUAAGUGAGACUUCCACCCAAGUGAGGGGUCAGACUAGGUAGCCUCAAACUAUUUUUGGAAUAAAACAGCCCUGGAUUUCUUCCACAAUCUAACCCAUCCCAGACAUGACACCAUCUUGGCUUCGGGGAAAAUCCUAUCAAAUGUCUUUUGUGCCUUGUACCCACCCUGGUCACAGUCGGUUGGAUCAUCCACAAGGCAUCCCAGAGUGGGAGAGGUGGUCAGGCCUGGAGUCUCCCAGUGUUGGCUUGUUCUCCAGGAAAUCAGCACCACUUCCCAUGGUUCCCUGUUCCAUUUAAGGCCAUGUGACCCAGGCUCUGCUCUGGGGUAGGAUGACUGCUUGCAGAAUCUCAUAGGACUACCAGCAGGUCCAACAGCCUCCUGGGAGCUGCCCAGUGCCAAGGUCAAUGCUUGGCACCAGAAUCACGAGCCACCACACAGCUUUGUAGAUUCGAACAGCAAUUCUUUAUUCCAUCUCUCACACCACCUCCACACAGGUCCAGGGGCAAUCGCUUUCUCCCGUCUACCCGCACAAUUCACCUACUACACGAGGCUAUCUCCAAAUCCCAUUUUAAUCUCACGAGAACUCAACGGGAACAAGCAGCAGGAACACCCUAAUCCCAGCAAUAAUCUUCAACUUCCAACUUCCCUAAAACCCAUUAUCUUAAACUGGCAACGCCUUAAACUCAAGGAGCCGGUUACUUCCUCAAACCUGAUCAGCUCUAAACCCGGAUCUGCCUUGGUCCUUGAGCAAGGUCACCUCAUUAAAGCAUGCAUGCAAUGUCCCAUCAAAUGUCCUCUAAGCAGCAUGGGGUACGCUUGGCAAGGAAAUUUCGAUGCGUCAUUCCUACUUGGUAAUGGCCCUCAGCAGCCCAGAGCUUAUAUUUUCAAUGGAUCUUGGAAGAAGCAUAAGAUUCCCACCCAGGGAGCCAAGGGAACCCAGGUCCCAGUCCUCUCAUGGUAAAGGUCUGGGGCAUAAGGGUCCAGAAUCCACACUGCAGCCAUAGUAAUUCUUCUCCCCACCCCAGGAGGACGUCUGGACAGAGGAAAGAAAGGCCUCGCAUACGUCUUCUCCUAGGAGUUUGCUUCGAGGUGAUAAAUAUCUUUCGUUUCUAUUGUGAAUGAGAUCUUUCUUUUCCAUUAUUUUUUCUAAGUGGUUACUGUUGGAAAUAGGAAAGGUAUUGAUUUUGGUACAUUUAUUUUGUAACUGAC
rnacentral:lncRNA from 1 species